CUGGCGGCGUGCCUAAUACAUGCAAGUAGAACGCUGAAGAGAGGAGCUUGCUCUUCUUGGAUGAGUUGCGAACGGGUGAGUAACGCGUAGGUAACCUGCCUUGUAGCGGGGGAUAACUAUUGGAAACGAUAGCUAAUACCGCAUAACAAUGGAUGACACAUGUCAUUUAUUUGAAAGGGGCAAUUGCUCCACUACAAGAUGGACCUGCGUUGUAUUAGCUAGUAGGUGAGGUAAUGGCUCACCUAGGCGACGAUACAUAGCCGACCUGAGAGGGUGAUCGGCCACACUGGGACUGAGACACGGCCCAGACUCCUACGGGAGGCAGCAGUAGGGAAUCUUCGGCAAUGGGGGCAACCCUGACCGAGCAACGCCGCGUGAGUGAAGAAGGUUUUCGGAUCGUAAAGCUCUGUUGUAAGUCAAGAACGGGUGUGAGAGUGGAAAGUUCACACUGUGACGGUAGCUUACCAGAAAGGGACGGCUAACUACGUGCCAGCAGCCGCGGUAAUACGUAGGUCCCGAGCGUUGUCCGGAUUUAUUGGGCGUAAAGCGAGCGCAGGCGGUUUGAUAAGUCUGAAGUUAAAGGCUGUGGCUCAACCAUAGUUCGCUUUGGAAACUGUCAAACUUGAGUGCAGAAGGGGAGAGUGGAAUUCCAUGUGUAGCGGUGAAAUGCGUAGAUAUAUGGAGGAACACCGGUGGCGAAAGCGGCUCUCUGGUCUGUAACUGACGCUGAGGCUCGAAAGCGUGGGGAGCGAACAGGAUUAGAUACCCUGGUAGUCCACGCCGUAAACGAUGAGUGCUAGGUGUUGGAUCCUUUCCGGGAUUCAGUGCCGCAGCUAACGCAUUAAGCACUCCGCCUGGGGAGUACGACCGCAAGGUUGAAACUCAAAGGAAUUGACGGGGGCCCGCACAAGCGGUGGAGCAUGUGGUUUAAUUCGAAGCAACGCGAAGAACCUUACCAGGUCUUGACAUCCCGAUGCUAUUUCUAGAGAUAGAAAGUUACUUCGGUACAUCGGUGACAGGUGGUGCAUGGUUGUCGUCAGCUCGUGUCGUGAGAUGUUGGGUUAAGUCCCGCAACGAGCGCAACCCCUAUUGUUAGUUGCCAUCAUUCAGUUGGGCACUCUAGCGAGACUGCCGGUAAUAAACCGGAGGAAGGUGGGGAUGACGUCAAAUCAUCAUGCCCCUUAUGACCUGGGCUACACACGUGCUACAAUGGUUGGUACAACGAGUUGCGAGUCGGUGACGGCGAGCUAAUCUCUUAAAGCCAAUCUCAGUUCGGAUUGUAGGCUGCAACUCGCCUACAUGAAGUCGGAAUCGCUAGUAAUCGCGGAUCAGCACGCCGCGGUGAAUACGUUCCCGGGCCUUGUACACACCGCCCGUCACACCACGAGAGUUUGUAACACCCGAAGUCGGUGAGGUAACCUUUUGGAGCCAGCCGCCUAAGGUGGGAC
rnacentral:rRNA from 1 species